CGCCUCAUGUAUAAUAAUAAAAUAUGAGGUCCCGCCUGCCCUGUGACUAUAAGUUUAACGGCCGCGGUAUUUUGACCGUGCAAAGGUAGCGCAAUCACUUGUCUUUUAAAUAAAGACCCGUAUGAAUGGCACGACGAGGGCUUAACUGUCUCCUUCCCCUAGUCAAUGAAAUUGAUCUCCCCGUGCAGAAGCGGGGAUAAAAACAUAAGACGAGAAGACCCUAUGGAGCUUUAGGCUAACAGUAGAAUUACGUUAAAACCUGCAUUUAAAAGACUAAACCAAGUUAACCUCUACUACAUGCCUUUGGUUGGGGCGACCGCGGGGUAAAAAUUAACCCCCAUGAGCACAAGGUAAUAACCUUACAACCAAGAACGUCAGUUCUAAGUGCCAAAAAUUUUGACUUAAGAUCCGGCUAAGCCGAUCAACGAACCGAGUUACCCUAGGGAUAACAGCGCAAUCCCCUUCAAGAGUCCCUAUCGACAAGGGGGUUUACGACCUCGAUGUUGGAUCAGGACAUCCUAAAGGUGUAGUCGCUUUUAAGGGUUCGUUUGUUCAACGAUUAAAGUCCU
rnacentral:rRNA from 1 species